AAUUGUAAAAUUUUUAUUGCAAAAUAUUAAAAUAAAUUACAUUUUACAAAGACUUAGCAAAUAUUUACAUACAGUGUGAUUCCAGUGACAAUCAGCAACAAAGAACAGACAGACAGGCAUAUCAUGGAGUGACAGGAGUCAGAACUGUACAAACUUCAAAAGCCAUAUGAAAGACAAGCUAAUUUUUUUAAAAGGUAAAUCCAUCACAAAUGGAACGAAUCCCACGAGGCACAAAAAUUACAAGUCUACAAUAAAGUUCUUGGGUUUUUUUGUUUAGGUCAACAGACUUGUAUAUUGCUUUUUGCUUUCCUCAUCAGUGACGCUUGUCUGUCGCUACACAUACUCUCCCAGAUCAACUGGAAAAAAACAAUAAAAUCAAAAUCUCAACAUAUACAACUGUGUCACCAUGGAUCUGUUAUCAAUCUGGUUUUAUUUCUGCAUGUUUUGUGACAUCUAUUGCCAGCAACAGAUUCACAAACCAUUAGUUCAAAAAAAAUUUAACACAUCACUUUUUGUAUUUCCUCAGUGAUUUCGUACCAGUGUAUUAGAUGUGUUAGACUGCCUGCUGUGAGAUAUGUAUCUGAAAAUGAUGCCCUCCCGGUAAAAAUAAACUUCAAUAGCAGAAGACAAUCAAGAAGUGUCACAAUGAAGUCAAGGAUGGGGUCACAGUCUAUAGCACUUAAGAGGGCUUUUGUAGGAAUAGCCUUUUGUUGUCACAUUUCAAGAUUAUUUUUUUUUAGCAGUGGCUCAUCUUGGCAACAUUAGUAAGUUUAUAUUGUGAAAGGAGACCCAUGCUUCACAUAAUGCGACUGAAAAUACAAUCUAUUUGUAGGCAAUAGCUAGAAAGAAGAGUUUCCAUUUCUAUUCCAUCCCUUCCUUAUAUGCGCUUUCAGGGUUUGGGAUUUUACCCCCCCCUCCCCCUUUUAAAAAAAAUCCCGUUUCCCCUCUUUCUGGGAGGAGAUGUGUCUCACCUAUAAAACCAAUUCCAUAGCAUUAAGACAGCUGUUAACAUUAUAGGUUAACCAAAAUCUUACAUGGCAUCUGAAGAAAAUGUUUCCAGGUCGACCAGGUAAUUGAAAUAAAUAAAAGACUUUACCAAGUAGCAUGGGGGAAUUCACUCACAGGCACUUCUGGGGCUGAAUAACUCAGAAUCCAGUCUGGACGUCCCUCUAACUCACUUCAGAACAUAUAAAUCUGAAGGCAGAAAGACAUUAAUUUGGAUCCCCCAGGCAUCUGCUUUUCUCAAGACGUGGAAGACAGGCAGGCAAAAAGCUGUCUUGCUUAGCACUUCGGCAAUUCUGAGAUGGCACCAUAACUUUAAAAACCCUGGGAAAUGGUUCAACUUCUUGGAAAGAACCAAUAUGAAAGCUAUGCGCCAACUAAAUCCUCCAAAACACUGACUGAAAACAAGUAGGGCUUAACGAGACCAACUGUGAUGGCCCCUGUGUAAAAAGAAAUUUUUUCCCAGUGUUAGGAUUACAUUAAGGCACACGGUGGGAUGUCUUGAGAACAGUUUUGUGAGGUGUGAUCAUGUUUCCCGAAAAAGCAGGAAUAUUAUACUUUGUUUUAAUAAAUUUAAACUAUUACUUUAAAUCCCAUGAUACUUACUACGAAGACUUAGAGUCUAUGCUGACUACACUGGGAAAGGCCAGAGAGCCACAUCUAACUUGAUAAUAUGAAACAGAUCCCAUCCAUUCUCAGCUCUGGCGUACAAGUGCACUUCGCUAUGGAGAACGCAGAGUCUGGGUUGCAGUGUGCAACAUCUCCUCCCAAUCAAAGCAGCCCAGCCAAGUGUCUGGGUUGUAUUAUUUCUGUAUUAAAGAGAGUUUUUAUUUUUUUUUAAAUGGAGAUUGGAGUAUGCUUUUCCAUUUCAUGCACUUUCAGCAAGCCUCUUCUUUCCUGUCUUGUAGCUUUCUAACUGUCACUAAAACUUUGAUCUUUGCAUCAGUAAUGGAAGACAAGUUGGAGAACAACAAAAACUAUAUGGAGUGCUUUCUCAUUUUCUCUGAAGUUAAUGUAUACUUUUUAAAAGAAAAGAAAAAGAGAAGGCUAGAC
ensembl:lncRNA